UUGAACGCUGGCGGCAUGCCUUACACAUGCAAGUCGAACGGCAGCACGGGAGCAAUCCUGGUGGCGAGUGGCGAACGGGUGAGUAAUAUAUCGGAACGUGCCCAGUCGUGGGGGAUAACGUAGCGAAAGCUACGCUAAUACCGCAUACGAUCUAUGGAUGAAAGCGGGGGAUCGCAAGACCUCGCGCGAUUGGAGCGGCCGAUAUCAGAUUAGGUAGUUGGUGAGGUAAAGGCUCACCAAGCCGACGAUCUGUAGCUGGUCUGAGAGGACGACCAGCCACACUGGGACUGAGACACGGCCCAGACUCCUACGGGAGGCAGCAGUGGGAAUUUUGGACAAUGGGCGCAAGCCUGAUCCAGCAAUGCCGCGUGCAGGAUGAAGGCCUUCGGGUUGUAAACUGCUUUUGUACGGAACGAAACGGUAAGCUCUAAUACAGUUUGCUAAUGACGGUACCGUAAGAAUAAGCACCGGCUAACUACGUG
rnacentral:rRNA from 1 species